rnacentral:rRNA from 1 species
GAGACAGCAGCCGCCACGGUAAUACGAGGGGGGCAAGCGUUGUUCGGAAUUAUUGGGCGUAAAGGGCGCGUAGGCGGUUUGACAAGUCUGAUGUGAAAUCUCUGGGCUCAACCCAGAGUCUGCAUCGGAAACUGUCGAGCUUGAGUAUGGGAGAGGUGAGUGGAAUUUCCGGUGUAGCGGUGAAAUGCGUAGAUAUCGGAAGGAACACCUGUGGCGAAAGCGGCUCACUGGACCAUUACUGACGCUGAGGCGCGAAAGCUAGGGGAGCAAACAGGAUUAGAUACCCCGGUAGUCCCUGUCUCUUAUAC